rnacentral:rRNA from 1 species
AAACCAACAGGGAUUGCCCCAGUAACGGCGAGUGAAGCGGCAAAAGCUCAAAUUUGAAAUCCUGCGGGAAUUGUAAUUUGAAGGUUUCGUGGUCUGAGUCGGCCGCGCCCAAGUCCAUUGGAACAUGGCGCCUGGGAGGGUGAGAGCCCCGUAUGGCGCACGCCGACUCUUUGUACACCGCGGCUCCGACGAGUCGAAUUGUUUGGGAAUGCAGCUCUAAGUGGGUGGUAAAUUCCAUCUAAAGCUAAAUAUUGGCGAGAGACCGAUAGCGAACAAGUACAGUGAUGGAAAGAUGAAAAGCACUUUGAAAAGAGAGUGAAACAGCACGUGAAAUUGUUGAAAGGGAAGGGCUUGCAAGCAGACACGGUUUUACCGGGCCAGCGUCGAAAAGGGGGGAGGAACAAGAACUCGAGAAUGUGGCGCGCACCUUCGGGCGCGCGUGUUAUAGCUCGUGUCGACGCCUCCAUCCCUUUUCGAGGCCUGCGAUUCUAGGACGCUGGCGUAAUGGUUGCAAGCCGC